CAAGACACACAUGCACGACGGCGCCUACAUGACACCCGACGACCCAACACCUUAAUCAAAAACAUCCUCGGUAGUACCCAUGCAAAACGAUCCGUGAUAGUACGAUACCAAAUCUAGCCAAUGUAUGCAUAUGAUUCCAAAUGAUGAUGAGUUCAGCAGCUUCAGCUGUACUGAACGAUGGAGCGGUAGAAGGUGCUGGGCUCCCAGUUGGCCGGGAUGACCUUGUCGGCCACCAGCGUCUUGCCGGACUCGUUGGUGAUGCGCAUGGAGAAGGGCGCCUGGAGGCGGUGGCCGGAGUCCAGCCGCCAGAUUGAUCCCCACGACUCGCGCAUCGGCGUCCACGUACCGGAGUUGGCCUCCAUGAGGUCCACCUGCACCACGUCGCCGUCGCCGUCCUCGUACUCCACCAGCACGGCGAAGUACACCGGGUUCGACCCCUGCUCCACGUGGAAGGUCACCUUGAGACCAGGGAACUCGCACGGCACUCUGCACCAAUCAUCAUCAACAAUCAGCAAACCAUGUGCAGUUGUAACUUAGUUUGCAACCGAGCCGGAUCGACGGCAAAUAAGUGUGAGGCGACGGUACUGAAAACAGAGUAGUACGUGUUCGCUGCGAAUCUAUUUGGGUCCCAGUUAAACCGGUCGUUGUCGUGAAAGUUUUGUUGGGCAAAAGCACUAGUUUUAUAGUAUGAUUCUGUUCAUCGUUCUGGUAGGGCCAGAUAGGAUUGGUGCAACGAAUGAUGAAAUGGCACCGACCUCUUGAACUGGAUGUCGAUGAUGCCGGAGUGCCGGAGCUUCUCGCUGAGGCCGGGCUUGGCCAUGGCGCCGAACGCGGUGCCACUCAGGUCGAAGUGGUACUUGGCAACCGGGUAGUAGUUCAUGUCGGUGAUGACCACCGUCUCCGGGUUGCCGGAGCAGGACUGGUCGUUGGUGCACCGUAUCUGAAAAAGGCAAAAGAAAACGAUCAGAAAUCAAGAUUAACACUGUUUCACCAGCUCCAUUUCCACCACGGCAGGGGCAAAGCACCACCACCAACAACAACCCUCGUCGUGGAAAAGGGUAAAAACCAUGGCAAAUCAACGAGCUAGUCUAGCUAGCUACCUGGUAGCAGGAGCCGCAUCCCUUGCCAUCCUUGAAGAUGGGCUCGUUGCCGCACGAUGUCAUGGAGGAGAAGGGGUACUGGUUGGUGUUCUUGAACCCGCACGCACCACCUGAAUGCACAUCGAUCACCGUAUGUCAUUACACAAACGAUCAAUUAAGCGAACGCCGCGGCGCCGUGCAUGCACCGGCGCAUACGGGUGGACGUACCGUCGUCCAUGGGGCCGGCACCCGUGGGCGCGCCGUACCAGGUGGCCCUGGCGUCCUCCCAGUUGGGGUCGGCGGUGAAGGCGGAAUCGUUGAAGGUCCCGGCGCCGGCAGCGGCGUAGGUGACGAGGAGGGAGGACAGUGCAACGAGUGCAACGGCCUUAGACGAGAGAGGAGCCAUGUCAAAGCAACGCUGCUUCUUCAGGCUUGUGGGGGUAGUGUACCAGCGCACUGACCAGGCCGGGUUGG
rnacentral:lncRNA from 1 species